UGGCGGCGAUAGCGCGGUGGUCCCACCUGACCCCAUGCCGAACUCAGAAGUGAAACGCCGUAGCGCCGAUGGUAGUGUGGGGUCUCCCCAUGUGAGAGUA
rnacentral:rRNA from 5 species